ACACAGAGCCUGUGCCAGGAAGCAAGGAACAGCUGAUGGAACUGUUUUCACACCCUCACCAGCUCCUUUCUUCUCCUUUUCACAUGGGCCUCACACCAAAGGUAGUGGCCAUCUGCCCAUCUCCAGCAGGGCUCCAUCUACAGCAGACACCCUGGGCAGACUGACUUUUUGAACAGAUUCAAGAGGAGCAGCCCAGAUCUAUUCCCUCAGUAACCAGUGUGGGGGAGCAAGGUUCCAGCUGGCUCAGUGGGAAGGUUUCCUUUCUGUUGGUGCUGAAGGAACAGGACAUCACAAACACAGUGACUCAUUGACUAUGGACACGAUUCAUCUUUUAAUGCACUUGUAAUUCAGGAGCCUGGGAAAGCUUCCAAGGCAAGUUCCACCUUAAAAACACGAUAUCAGAAUAUCAGUGGAUUCCAAACAUUUUUAUUUUGUAUUUGCUGCCACAGACAGUAACUGAACAGUGCUGUCAUCAGUGUCAGUGGGAAAAAGGAGCAUGGGUCUUCUUCUCCCAAAGAUGUCAUGUACAUUAAGAAGUCAGUCCAAAAUCCUGGUGUUAAGUACAAAAAGCAACUGUUUGAAUUAUAAAAUACUGUAUAUACAGAUAUAAAAAUGUCUCAGAAAGUGUCCCACAAAGUUUCUGAACUUUCAAGAGCAAAUCUUCAGCAGGGUAAGUAUUGGUUGUUGUCUUCAAAGGUGAGCAUCAGUUCGUUAGAGCAGAAUGUCCCAGUCUUUAUCUUCCUAUAUUACAGGUGACAGACUCUGAUUUUCAUCCCCACCAGGGAUAACGUGGUGAUCCUAGUAUUAAGGUGUUUUUUUCCUGGAGCUAUUAAUUUAACAAGCAAACUCUCUAUAUAUAAAAAUGAAAUUUCAAAGAAAUUUAUACAACAGCUAGACUUUAUAAAAAUAUAGAUCUAUAAUUUUACACCAGGAAUUAUCCAAGGUAAAUUUUCAUUUUCUUAGUCAUUAGAAAUUAAUUGUUAUCCUUUGGAAUCCUAUAUAUGGCUAGAGUAUAAACUAAAAUAAUGUGAAGUUAUUAGCUGGAAAAGCAAGUUUGAAGAAUCUCAUUCUGUGGUUUUUUUUGGGGCCAAAAUUAACAAACUACUGCAUUCUGUAGUGCUUAUCCUGUGGGGUGGUGGACAUACUACACAGUACAUGUAAACUUAUUCCAGAAUUUUCACCUAAUUGAGUGUUAAAACCCAAAUUAAAAAAAAA